CAAGGAAUUUUCCCCAAUGGGCGCAAGCCUGAGGGAGCAACGCCGCGUGCAGGACGACGGCCUUCGGGUUGUAAACUGCUUUUGGUGGGGACGAUUGUGACGGUACCCGCCGAACAAGCCCCGGCUAACUCUGUGCCAGCAGCCGCGGUAAGACAGAGGAAGCAAGCGUUGUCCGGACUGACUGGGCGUAAAGCGCGCGCAGGCGGAGCAAGGCGUCGAUGCUGAAAUCGGGCCGCUUAACGGCCCGCGGCGUGUCGAUACGCUUGUUCUGGAGCGCGGGCGAGGGUGGUGGAAUUGCCGGUGUAGUGGUGAAAUGCGUAGAGAUCGGCAGGAACACCCGUGGCGCAAGCGGCCACCUAGCCCGUUGCUGACGCUGAGGCGCGACAGCGUGGGGAGCGAACUGG
rnacentral:rRNA from 1 species